AUGGAUGCUGUAAUAAUCUUAAUUGUGGUUUGUGAUAGUUAUUUGACGAGAACCCCCGCUCCCCUCUCCCCGCGGCUAGGGUUCCCCCGCUCCCCUCCCGCCGCCGCCACCUCUCCCGCCGCCGCCGGCCGUCGGCCCCGCCUCCGCCCCCCUUCCGCCCGGCCCCUCCUCCGGCUAGGCCGCCUCGCGCCGCCUCCCCGGGAGGUGGCCGGGGUGGAGCUCACGCCCCGCGCCCGCAGGACCCCGCCUUCCCCAUCUCCCUCCGCCGCCGCCGGCGAGCGACCCCGGCGUUGGCCCGGGUGA
rnacentral:rRNA from 1 species